rnacentral:rRNA from 1 species
AAUAUAUAGGGUAACGUGCCCUAGAGAAGAGGAUAACAUUUGGAAACGAAUGCUAAUACUCUAUAUGCCUUUAAGACAUAAGUCUGCAAGGGAAAUAUUUAUAGCUCUAGGAUCGGCCUGUACGGUAUCAGCUUGUUGGUGAGGUAAUGGCUCACCAAGGCAAUGACACCUAACUGGUUUGAAAGGAUGAUCAGUCACACUGGAACUGAGACACGGUCCAGACUCCUACGGGAGGCAGCAGUGGGGAAUAUUGCACAAUGGACGAAAGUCUGAUGCAGCAACGCCGCGUGGAGGAUGACACAUUUCGGUGCGUAAACUCCUUUUAUAUAGGAAGAUAAUGACGGUACUAUAUGAAUAAGCGCCGGCUAACUCCGUGCCAUCAGCCGCGGUAAUACGUGAGGGCGCA